UACGAAGGGGGCUAGCGUUGUUCGGAAUUACUGGGCGUAAAGCGCGCGCAGGCGGCUAUCCAAGUCAGUGGUGAAAGCCCGGAGCUCAACUCCGGAACUGCCAUUGAAACUGUUUAGCUUGAGGAUGAGAGAGGUGAGUGGAAUUCCCAGUGUAGAGGUGAAAUUCGUAGAUAUUGGGAAGAACACCGGUGGCGAAGGCGGCUCACUGGCUCAUUACCGACGCUCAGGCGCGACAGCGUGGGGAGCAAACAGG
rnacentral:rRNA from 1 species